UCCGCCGUGGUGUAAGGGCAGCACCUCGGAUUUUGGUUCCGAAGGUCCAGGUUCGAAUCCUGGCGGCGGAG
rnacentral:tRNA from 1 species